GUACACGCUGUGACUAGCAUAUCAAUAAGCGGAGGAAAAGAAACUAACAAGGAUUCCCUUAGGAACGGCGAGUGAAGCGGGAAGAGCUCAAAUUUGAAAUCUUCAAGGUUUUACCUUGACGAAUUGUAGUUUAAAGAAGUGUUUUCUGCUGAAGUUUUGGUAAAAGUUCUUUGGAAUAGGACAUCAUAGAGGGUGAGAAUCCCGUAUUUGACCAUUAUUUUCAGCUUUGUGAUACACUUUCAAAGAGUCGGGUUGUUUGGGAAUGCAGCCCAAAACGGGAGGUAAAUUUCUUCUAAGGCUAAAUAUUGGCGAGAGACCGAUAGCGAACAAGUACCGUGAGGGAAAGAUGAAAAGAACUUUGAAAAGAGAGUUAAAUAGUACGUGAAAUUGUCAAAAGGGAAGCGUUUAACACCAGUGUUGUUUUCUGAAAAUCAACCUCUGUUAGCUUUAUGCAAGUUUGUUUAGACCUAAUCAGCUAUCUUGCAUGUUCUAUUGUUUGCAGUGGUGCACUUUUCAGUUUACAGGUCAACAUCAGUUUUUUUUACCGCUAAAAAAGUUAAAGAAAGGUAGCUCAUGGCUCCGAUCGUGAGUGUUAUAGUCUUUUUCCUAUGCGGUAGGAGAGACUGAGGUCUGCAGUGUAGGCUAUUUGGCUAGAUACUCAGGUGCUAUGUGAUACCAUUUCAUAAACAACUUGUUGAUUAUGUUUUGUCUAUUGCAGUACUCGCUUGUACUAUCAUACCUACGCUUAGGAUGUUGAGUAGCGACAUACGCAC
rnacentral:rRNA from 1 species